GUGUAACAAUUCCUCCUCAGCAUGAGGAGCAAUAGCACAUGUGAGAUAUACAAAGCGCACUGUGCACAGGUCCAUGGUUCUGGUUACCGUCGAUGAACAAACGGAGGCACAGAGAGAUUUAUAUCCUUUGCCCAAGGUGACACAAUUUGGAGUGGAAUCCAAAUCCAGGAAUCUGGCACGCAUGCCUGGACUCUGACCACUUGGCCCCAUCGGAGUAAAACAAACCCGGGGCCAGCCCUGUGCGGAGCCGCGUGAAGACGCCACUGUAGCCGGCAGUCUCCUGGGCAAUCAGCGUGAUUGGCCAGCGCUGCAGUGUCACCAUAGCGCUCUCACUAAGAGGCUGCUUGAAUGUGGCCCAUUAAAUGCAUCUUCUUAGACCUCU